CCUAGGCUCCGGGGCUCCCCGGCUGAGGCGCCUCUCUCUCCCCGCCCCUCGCCCUCGGCCCUUCCUCUCCCGGCACCUCGGGCGGCGGCGGCCAGAGCAGCAGCGAGCGGCGGGAGCAGGCGGCCUCGAGGAUGAAGUGCAAGCCGAACCAGACGCGGACCUACGACCCGGAGGGGUUCAAGAAGCGGGCGGCGUGCCUGUGCUUCCGGAGCGAGCGCGAGGACGAGGUGCUGUUAGUGAGCAGCAGUCGGUACCCGGACCGCUGGAUCGUGCCGGGCGGGGGCAUGGAGCCCGAGGAGGAGCCGGGCGGCGCGGCAGUCCGAGAGGUGUACGAAGAGGCGGGAGUCAAGGGGAAGUUAGGCCGGCUCCUGGGCAUUUUCGAACAGAACCAAGAUCGCAAGCACCGAACGUACGUGUAUGUACUGACUGUCACUGAGAUUCUGGAGGAUUGGGAAGAUUCGGUUAGCAUUGGGAGGAAGCGAGAGUGGUUCAAAAUCGAAGAUGCGAUCAAGGUUCUCCAGUGCCACAAGCCCGUGCAUGCCGAAUAUCUGGAAAAACUAAAGCUGGGCGGUUCCCCAACCAAUGGAAACUCCGUGGCCCCGUCCCCGCCAGAGAGCGAUCCCUAGUAUGUACGGCUCCUGCACAGACUUCUGCUUUCCGCCUCCCUUAGAAUAAAUAGUGGCCGGAGCACCCCUGUGCCGUGUGCGGUCUUCGGGGCGGAGGGAGGCUUCUUUUGUUUCCUUGGCAGACCUCUGAAUCACGCUUGCAGACCGCCUCAGUUGCCAGGCACUGUUUUCAAUUUGCGCGUUUUUCAGAUGCUUUGAAAAUCGCUUCUGGUAGCGCUGUAACAUAUUUCGGAAAGCCAAAGCCACGUGGGUUUUUUUUUAAAGGUGCCUUAACUGCUCACCCAGCCCUUGGGGGGGAGCUGUGCGUGUGUGUGUGUACACGUGUGUACGCGCUGUGGUUUGUUCUUUUACGUUUCACACAUACUUUGUGUGUGUGUGUGUGUGUGCGCGCGCGCGCACGUGUGCUUUUUUGGUACCAUUCUUGUGGUUUGUUUCGUAGGGAUCUGAUCGCUUGGUUGUGUGGCAUCUUUCAUUAAUUUUUUUUCUUGUUUUCUCGUUCAUAGCAUUCGCCCUUGUCAGUAAGCCCUUCUGUGAUGGGAAUUGGUUUAAGCGAUCAGUUUUGAAUUUAAAAAACAUUUAAGAAAUUUUACAUCUUGUGCUCUUUCCGCACUGGACCAUAAUUUGAUCUCUAGAAAUUUAAUCUAGUUUGCCCUUUUCGGAAAUUUCUUUAUUCUUAUGUAGAUAAUUUGACUUUCAGAAAAAAAAUUUCUCACCUGGUAAUUUUUCACUGCUUACUUGAAAUGGCCGUUUCCCCAUUUUCCCCCUACAAGCACCAACGAAGUUUAACAAAGUGUUACUUCUUAGGAAGGUAUUGUUGGCCAAGCACAUCCCGAGGUGUACAUAUUAGCAUGAAAACUGUGUUCGUGGAGUAUGAUGUAGCAUGCUCAGCCUCCAACUCCAUUGCCUUUUUCUUAAUACCCUAGAAGAAGCAUAGUUCUCUAAAUGUAAGUUAGUUUUUGGAAGAAAGUUAUUUCCCACGUUUGAAUUUGGGAUAUUCCAGUUAAACUUGUCUGAGUGCCAGUAGCCAGAAGAAUGGAAUCUUAUAUGGUAAUUACAUCCCAAUUAAGCGAGUUAGCUUUCUUGAUAUUCAGCUGUUACAGACUUCUCAGUGUUAGGGCAGUUUCUCUUAAACAUUUAGGAUAAACGUUUGUUCUCACAGGACAAACUUUGCGGUACCGAAUUAAAAGAUCUUACAUUUGCCUUGAUACUUGCUUGCGACCAAGAGUCCCGUCUGAAAUGCAUAGGUCUCUCUUCUCUAACUAUUUUUAUUUCCCUAGCCAUGUCAGUAGUUAAGUAGAGGGAAAACCAAGUUUGUGAAGAGAGUAUUAGGGGUGGAAAGGUCAUUCCAUAUAUAACACUUAAGCAUUUUUAAAACAUUCUACUAGUAAAUAAUGAGUAUAAAGUAGAAAAUAAUGGUUAUUAAAAACAUUUUGCUACUCCUCAAAGUAAGCUGUUUUUAAACACAAGUACUGCUAAAAUUUUAAUAGAGUUACCAUUUGUUAAAAAAAUUAGUAUUUUACUGUUGCAACAUGCAUACAGAACAAUGCACAAAUCUUAAGUGUACAGCUUAAUGAAUUUUUACAUAGUGAACACAUACAUGUAGCCAGAAUCCAGAUCAAAAAAUUAACUUUGCCUGUAACUCAAAAGCCCACUGCAUUCCUCCCCCUAAUUAGUACUCCACCUUCCUAUCUUUUAAGACCAUAGAAUAGUUGGUUUUGAACUUUAUAUGGUGAAUUUUAGAAUAUAUACUCUUUUGUGCUGCUCCUUGCGUGCUUUGCACGUUUUACUACUCUUCAGAAUACUCAAAUGUUUUUCUCCAUUUGUUUUGCAUUGUAAUUCUAAAAAUUACUAAUAUUUUCAUAUGAUUGCUGCUAAAAAGUGGGCUCUGUUGCACUUUCUAAAGAAAUUUGGUGCCACUGUUUUGAAAACAUCUUAUUACACAUUUAAGUACAGAUAAGCAAAGUACAAGUUUCAAUUCACAAUAUAUUUUCUGUAGUAUUGCUAUCAAAGUAAACUAAAAGAAUAAGUGGGUUUUUAAAACAAAUGACAGUUUCAUUAUCGGAAUUAUAUAGUUUGAUCAAGUAUGGUUAUUGAGUAUUUUUCUGUUUUUCUCUAGGAAACCGAUACAUAUGGAAUAUAUUUGUGCACAUAGUUUUUUAAUUUCAAACAAAUUGACACCAAAAUGUUUUCCCCCAAUAACUUAUUCAAGAAGAUUCUUAAAUUCUACGUUCACAUAACAGAUAUACUGGAUUCUUAUUUUAUAGAUAUUUUUGUAGAUAAAAACCCCUUCCACUUGAAAUGCUGUCACAAAUACUUUGGAGGCUUAACUUGUACCUGCUAUUCUUAGAGGUAAUAAUGCAUCAUCUUAUUUAGUUCUUGAAUCAAGUAUCUGACAAAGGCAAAACUGUACAGUAUUCAUAUUGACCCAUUAUUAAGAAUUAUUAGCCUAUAAAUAUGUUGUGGGUUGUUUUUUCUUUUUUUGCCAGAAACAUUUAGAAUAAGUCAUGCUAUUUUUCAGGAUUGACUGUCAGGUUCAUUUAAGUGGUUUUUGUGAAAUAUUCACUGGAACAUAGCCUGGUCAGAAUAGUUAAAAGCUCCAAGGAGAUUCAUUUUUUCUCAUCAAGACCAAGAGUUUCAGGCUAAAACAGGUGACCAGAGGUAGUAGGUAGAAAACUUCUACCACUUCAGCGCUCCAAUGAUUGAUAUACAGUUGGGAUGUUUUUUCCUUUAUAGAGUGUUAAAAAGUCACUUAUUCAUUAUUUGUUUUUUUUAGCCCUCCCCUCAAUAAAAAAGGACAAAGAGUAUUCUUCACAGAUAAUUGAGAUGAACAGCAAAGAUGUUCAGGAUUGCUUUGAAAGAAUAAAUUUUGUGAACCAA